GCCAGCAGCUCUAUCACCCUGCAGCUCACAACUGCUAACCCCCUGAACCCUGAAGCUCAGCAGGUGUGAGCCUGGUCAGUACCUGGAUGGGAGACCUCCUGGGAAAAACUAAGGUUGCUGCUGGAA
rnacentral:rRNA from 1 species